rnacentral:rRNA from 1 species
UACGUAGGGGGCAAGCGUUGUCCGGAAUCAUUGGGCGUAAAGCGCGCGUAGGCGGCCAGAUAAGUCCGGUGUGAAAGUCAAAGGCUCAACCUUUGAAAGCCGAUGGAUACUGCAGGGCUCGAGUUCGGAAGAGGCGAGUGGAAUUCCUGGUGUAGCGGUGGAAUGCGCAGAUAUCAGGAAGAACACCCGUGGCGAAGGCGGCUCUCUGGGACGGUACUGACGCUGAGACGCGAAAGCGUGGGGAGCGAACAGG